rnacentral:rRNA from 1 species
CCUACGGGUGGCAGCAGUGGGGAAUAUUGGGCAAUGGGCGCAAGCCUGACCCAGCAACGCCGCGUGAAGGAAGAAUGCUUUCCGGUUGUAAACUUCUUUUGACAGGGAAGAGUAGAAGACGGUACCUGUCGAAUAAGCCACGGCUAACUACGUGCCAGCAGCCGCUGUAAUACGUAGGUGGCAAGCGUUGUCCGGAUUUACUGGGUGUAAAGGGCGUGUAGCCGGGUUGACAAGUCAGAUGUGAAAUCCUGCGGCUUAACCGCAGAACUGCAUUUGAAACUGUUGAUCUUGAGUACUGGAGAGGCAGACGGAAUUCGUGGUGUAGCGGUGAAAUGCGUAGAUAUUAGGAGGAACACCAGUGGCGAAGGCAGUCUGCUAGACAGCAACUGACGGUGAGGCGCGAAAGCGUGGGGAGCAAACAGGAUUAGAUACCCCAGUAGUC